rnacentral:tmRNA from 1 species
CUCUUACAGAAUUAAACUUAUGGUGAAUCGUUUCUGAUGCGUUUGUCCAUUGACGUAAUUAGAAAUUAAAUUCAACAAUGUGACUAAAUAUGUAGAACUGACUGCAGAGGACUUUCGGACGCGGGUUCGAUUCCCGCCGCCUCCACCA